rnacentral:misc_RNA from 1 species
GAUGAAGAACGUAGCGAAAUGCGAUAAGUAGUGUGAAUUGCAGAUUUCAUUGAAUCAUCGAAUCUUUGAACGCACAUUGCGCCCGCUAGUAUUCUGGCGGGCAUGCCUGUUCGAGCGUCAUUUCAACCAUCAAGCCCUAGGCUUGCGUUGGAGCCCUGCGGCUGCCGCAGACUCCCAAAUCCAGUGGCGGGCUCGUCGUCGUACCGAGUGCAGUAAACAUCCUCGCUCAGGGAACGUGACGGGUUCUUGCCGUGAAACCCCCCACAUAUCAAGGUUGACCUCGGAUCAGGUAGGAAUACCCGCUGAACUUAAGCAUAUCAAUAAGCGGAGGA